GGAAGGAUCAUUAACACAAACAUGUUGUGCCUUUCUGCUUUCGGGCAAAAAUACACAAUAUCUUACACCUGUGUGCACCUGUUUCAGUAAUAUGAAACCCUUUUUCAAACCACAAUCAGUUGUACUGUUGGUCUGAAGUAACUUGUUGUCUGUAUGCUUUGCGGUGUACAUUCAAUGAAAAAUAAAUUGUUAAACAACUCUUAACAAUGGAUAUCUUGGCUCUCGCAACGAUGAAGAACGCAGCGAAAUGCGAUACGUAAUGUGAAUUGCAGGAUUGUGAAUCAUCAAAUCUUCGAACGCACCUUGCGCUCUUGGGUACUCCCAGGAGCAUACCUGUUUGAGUGUCAUAAAACCUCUGCAAAAUACAAGCUUUGUUGUUUUGUGUUAGUGCGAGAUGGGUUUUCGCUUGGUUUCGUACCUGAGCGUGACCUGAAACUCAGUGGCUCCAGCUACAGCGCUUUAAAGGCGUGACGGGGUGGUGGGAAGUCCUUUGUGACUGACAAUUUACCUCUGUUGCUCCUGCUGUUUGCUGUCGAUGCAGGCAUCAUCAAAUUAGCAGACCGCAGCCGCAAGGCCAACGUCUCCUCAAAAUUUGACCUCAAAUCAGGUAAGACUACCCGCUGAAUUUAAGCAUAUUAAUAAGCGGAGGAAAAGAAACUAACCAGGAUUCCCCUAGUAACGGCGAGUGAAGCGGGAAGAGCUCAAAUUGAAAAUCUGGGAGGGUUCCCCUCUCCGAAUUGUAGUUUAGAGAAGUGCUUUCGGGCACCGCCUAGGCCUAAGUCCACUCGAACGUGGCAUCAGAGAGGGUGACAAUCCCGUCUUUGGCUUAGGGACCGGUGUCCGCUACGAGGUGCUUUCGACGAGUCGGGUUGCUUGGGAAUGCAGCCUUAAAUGGGUGGUGAAUUUCAUCUAAAGCUAAAUAAUGGCGAGAGACCGAUAGCGAACAAGUACCGUGAGGGAAAGAUGAAAAGAACUUUGAAAAGAGAGUUAAAAGUACUUGAAAUUGUUAAGAGGGAAGCGAUUAACAUCUGUGAUGUGCGCUGCAAAUUCAAUCGCGAGACGGGUAAGCUGGGGGCGUCGAGAGCGCAAGCCUCGUGUUUUCAGUGCAGCUUGGAGCGCGGUGCACUUUUGCAGUGGGCAGGUCAGCAUCAGUCGCGAGCGCGGGAGAAGCGCCUGAGAAAGGUAAGCAUGAACUUGUUUACAGGUCUCUGCUGUUAUAGUCUCGGGAGGGCUACCGUGUUCGGGAUUGAGGAAAGUCACAAUGCACGCCUCGGCGAAGCGGCUGUGUCCUGUGUUGGCACGACGGUAAGGGAGAGCUUGCUCUGCCGCUGUCGCGUUGAUAUAUCUGGCAUGGUGCGGCUAUGUGUGCAUUCAGGAUGCUGACGAAAAGGUUUUAAUCGACCCGUCUUGAAACACGGACCAAGGAGUCUAACAUAUAUGCGAGUAUUGGGGUGGAAAACCCACAAUGCGUAAUGAAAGUAAAGGUACACUUGGUGUACUGAGGUGGGAUCCGCGAGGCUUCGGCUUGGCGGUGCACCAUCGACCGAUCUGGAGGUUCUCCGAAAGAUUUGAGUAAGAGCAUAUCUGUUGGGACCCGAAAGAUGGUGAACUAUGCCUGAGUAGGAUGAAGCCAGAGGAAACUCUGGUGGAGGUCCGAAGCGAUACUGACGUGCAAAUCGUUCGUCAAAUUUGGGUAUAGGGGCGAAAGACUAAUCGAACCAUCUAGUAGCUGGUUCCCUC
rnacentral:misc_RNA from 1 species